AUUAUUCUUUUAUCAAUUUUGAAAGAUUUUCAGCGAUUAUAUUUUGAUUAUCUCUAUCAUUCUUUCUUUUGAAAGCUCUGAGAACAUGUUAGAUCUGUUGUUGUGUCCACCAUGCCCUUUGUUUCUUAACCUAUUUCAUAUUUUCCAUUCUUUUCCCUCUGUGUUGCAUUCUGGUAUAUUCUUCAGAAUUAUAACCAAACAAAUUUGGGGAAGAACCUUUAUUUGGUUCUUCAAGAAAUGAAAAUGAAUUUUAAGAAAUCCAACAGGUGGAUUAAACAGACACCUCUAAUAAGGAGAGACUUUUAAAACUAGAAUCUCAGAAUGUUUACUUUUGCUGGCUAACUUAGAGAUAGUACCCGUAGUUCAGAGCCACAUUAAACUAGAUUUUCAGCUUAACAUUUUUUUGACCAAUGUGAUGUUUGCUGAAAAACUUAAUGAAAUUCACUGACUUGAGGCUACAAAUUAUCAGUGGUAAAUUUUCCCAACCUCCAUUCAGUGCCAAGGUUCAAAACAGGCAGUUUUCUUUCAUCCCUUUAAUGAGUUUGGGGGAGAAGCAUUUUAUUGCAAGUUCGCUGUUAUGGUGAAGGGUCGUUCUUUAGGAUGUCAACUUUAUGGGCUGGGGUCUCCUAUUUGACCCCUCUUCUUGGAUAUGCCCUGAACUUUCUUCUCUAUCCUCAUGUAGACUUGAAAAUGGAAGCUCAUAAUCCUUGCCCUCAAGGCAAAAGCUGGCUUCACAGAGUUUCCUUCAACCUCUCUGGGGUUUUGCUUGGAUAUUUACAUUUUGCAUAACUUUAGCAGCUGAUUUCCACAGGCAAGCACUUAGUCUAAUGUUGCCAGAAAUAGGUGCCUAACUUUCUCAUAUAUUUUUUUAAAAUUUUAUUUUUAAGUAAUUUCUACACCCACUGUGGGGCUCAAACUCAGAAUCCCAAGACCAAGAGUCACAUGCUCCCCCAGCUAAGCCAGCCAGGUGGCCAAUUUUCUUAUAUUCCUGACAACACUGUUUCCUCAACAUUUUUGCUGAAGGUAUGUUAUGAUAGACAUUUGGGCAAGGAGGGAUGGCAGCCCUUCACCUUCUUCACAGUAUCAUGACUUACUUUCUGGGAAUAAAAAGAGAAAUUGUGUUGGUAUGAUAUAAGGUUUCUAGCCUAUAUGUGGGUAGUAGAUUUUUCAUUUAGAGAGUAGUUUGAAUCCCAAAUUUGUGGGAAUUUUUUCCGUAUAUGUUUAUAUACCUGUUAAAUUUAACACUUUAAGUUGCUCAUUGGUAAUGUUAGAAUGUAUUGAUCAGGACUUCAGUUGUUCCUUUGAGAAAAUCAGUUAUAAUUCUUUGUUUCACUUUUCCCAGGAGAUUCUGCUUUCUGCAGGAGAAGUGGGGUUCAAUCUCAUCAGGGGUGCCACUGCUAAUUCCCAGAUAACACUGACUGCUUCUGAUGAACCAGCGAGCCUGCAGUGAGGCCCCGAGAACAGUUCAAGCAAGUUUCCAGCGCUGCUGACACUGCUGUCAAAUAGCCACGACUUGAGAAGCACUGCCUUGGAGGGACUAGCCCACAGGUGAAGAACAGCACCAUAGCUAGCCUGGUGAGCUCAGCACCCACUCCCAGCCCAAGCUCCAUGGCAAAGGCACACACCAGAUGAUGGGCUGCGCCUUCUUCAGCUGAGAUUCCCUUAAAGGAGACCCUUGACCUAGAGGAACGGAGAGGGCAGUCCACUAGAAUACCAAUUUGUGAGUUGUUUCUUUUCACUUUGUACUGGAGUUUGAAGAACUGCUUUAAAUGUCCCCAUCCUUCAAGUCUACUUUGUAUUCUCUUCAUUACAGCUCAGUGUACCUGUCACAGCCUGGAAAACAGACAAUUCCAUCACACCCUCCCCCCGAUAUUAUUUUAGAUUUUCUCUUUUCCUUAAAAUGUAGUUGAACAAUUUGCCAGACAUAUUCCAACAGAAAAUGUGCUGCCCGGUAUCACCCUGCCCCUCCCCAACCCCCUAAAUCCCUGAUAAAGGAAAAUGAAAAUGUAAACUUUGGAAAGCCUGUGCUCAAGGUUUGCUUCUAGAAGUAUGCAAAUGAAGCCCUCUGGCCAGCCAAGCCCUUCCUGCUGGAAUCUCUCUGGCCUAGGCUUUGAGAGCGGGUGCCUUGUCACCCAGGGCAGAGCUUUCCUGGCAUUUCCCCGGCACUGGCUGCCUGAGGGCUGAAAGAAUGGAGUGGGAGACCGGCCCUCCAGUACUCUCUAAGGCACUAACCCCGACAUCAGAGACACUGGCUGGAAGGGCGUCCAAGCAGGCAGGGCUCACAUUGGUUUUGGUUGGGUUGUUUUUUGUUUUUUUUUUUUAUAUUUUUUCAUACGAUGUUAAUAAUCAAAAGUAGAAAAUAAAAAUCUACAUUUCAUUAGAAUAAGAUGUUAUCAUGGAUGCCAUCUCCCAUGAUACUCUUUCCCACCC